AAGUACAGCAAGUUACCUUGCAACGCAGAGACUUUUUGACUCUGGGCUUGGCACGGGAGUUGGAGGUCACAAUAGCAAAUUGCUGUUUUCAAAUAAUCACCCAAAUAGCACAGUCACAGCAAAAGGAUGUUUAUGCAGUGGAUUGCUAUGUUGUACCAACAUGGCUACCUCCACAUUGUCCGGAUACCUUGUCUU